GGGUUGUGAGGUUAAGUGACUAAGCGUACACGGUGGAUGCCUAGGCAGUCAGAGGCGAUGAAGGGCGUGCUAAUCUGCGAAAAGCGUCGGUAAGGUGAUAUGAACCGUUACAACCGGCGAUACCCGAAUGGGGAAACCCAGUGUGUUUCGACACACUAUCAUGUCAUGAAUACAUAGUGGCAUGAGGCGAACCGGGGGAACUGAAACAUCUAAGUACCCCGAGGAAAAGAAAUCAACCGAGAUUCCCCCAGUAGCGGCGAGCGAACGGGGAGGAGCCCAGAACCUGAAUCGGCUUGUGUGUUAGUGGAAGCGUCUGGAAAGUCGCGCAGCAAAGGGUGAUAGCCCCGUACACUAAAAUGCACAGGUCGUGAGUUCGAUGAGUAGGGCGGGACACGUGACAUCCUGUCUGAAUAUGGGGGGACCAUCCUCCAAGGCUAAAUACUCCUGACUGACCGAUAGUGAACCAGUACCGUGAGGGAAAGGCGAAAAGAACCCCGGCGAGGGGAGUGAAAUAGAACCUGAAACCGUGUACGUACAAGCAGUGGGAGCACCUUCGUGGUGUGACUGCGUACCUUUUGUAUAAUGGGUCAGCGACUUAUAUUUUGUAGCAAGGUUAACCGUAUAGGGGAGCCGUAGGGAAACCGAGUCUUAACUGGGCGAAUAGUUGCAAGGUAUAGACCCGAAACCCGGUGAUCUAGCCAUGGGCAGGUUGAAGGUUGGGUAACACUAACUGGAGGACCGAACCGACUAAUGUUGAAAAAUUAGCGGAUGACUUGUGGCUGGGGGUGAAAGGCCAAUCAAACCGGGAGAUAGCUGGUUCUCCCCGAAAGCUAUUUAGGUAGCGCCUCGUGAACUCAUCUUCGGGGGUAGAGCACUGUUUCGGCUAGGGGGCCAUCCCGGCUUACCAAACCGAUGCAAACUCCGAAUACCGAAGAAUGUUAUCACGGGAGACACACGGCGGGUGCUAACGUCCGUCGUGAAGAGGGAAACAACCCAGACCGCCAGCUAAGGUCCCAAAGUCAUGGUUAAGUGGGAAACGAUGUGGGAAGGCAUAGACAGCCAGGAUGUUGGCUUAGAAGCAGCCAUCAUUUAAAGAAAGCGUAAUAGCUCACUGGUCGAGUCGGCCUGCGCGGAAGAUGUAACGGGGCUAAACCAUGCACCGAAGCUGCGGCAGCGACGCUUAGGCGUUGUUGGGUAGGGGAGCGUUCUGUAAGCCGUUGAAGGUGGCCUGUGAGGGUUGCUGGAGGUAUCAGAAGUGCGAAUGCUGACAUAAGUAACGAUAAAGCGGGUGAAAAGCCCGCUCGCCGGAAGACCAAGGGUUCCUGUCCAACGUUAAUCGGGCAGGGUGAGUCGACCCCUAAGGCGAGGCUGAAAAGCGUAGUCGAUGGGAAACAGGUUAAUAUUCCUGUACUUGGUGUUACUGCGAAGGGGGGACGGAGAAGGCUAGGCUAGCCGGGCGACGGUUGUCCCGGUUUAAGCGUGUAGGGGGUGUGACCUGGUAAAUCCGGUUACAUAUCAACCCUGAGGCGUGAUGACGAUGCACUACGGUGCAGAAGUAGUUGAUGCCCUGCUUCCAGGAAAAGCCUCUAAGCUCUAGGUAACAUUAAAUCGUACCCCAAACCGACACAGGUGGUCAGGUAGAGAAUACCAAGGCGCUUGAGAGAACUCGGGUGAAGGAACUAGGCAAAAUGGUGCCGUAACUUCGGGAGAAGGCACGCUGGCAUGUAGGUGAAGUCCUUCGCGGAUGGAGCUGAAGCCAGUCGAAGAUACCAGCUGGCUGCAACUGUUUAAUAAAAACACAGCACUGUGCAAACACGAAAGUGGACGUAUACGGUGUGACGCCUGCCCGGUGCUGGAAGGUUAAUUGAUGGGGUCAGCCGCAAGGCGAAGCUCUUGAUCGAAGCCCCAGUAAACGGCGGCCGUAACUAUAACGGUCCUAAGGUAGCGAAAUUCCUUGUCGGGUAAGUUCCGACCUGCACGAAUGGCGUAAUGAUGGCCAGGCUGUCUCCACCCGAGACUCAGUGAAAUUGAACUCGCUGUGAAGAUGCAGUGUACCCGCGGCAAGACGGAAAGACCCCGUGAACCUUUACUAUAGCUUGACACUGAACAUUGAGCCUUGAUGUGUAGGAUAGGUGGGAGGCUUUGAAGCGUGGACGCCAGUCUGCGUGGAGCCAUCCUUGAAAUACCACCCUUUAAUGUUUGAUGUUCUAACUCGGCCCCGUGAUCCGGGGUGAGGACAGUGUCUGG
rnacentral:rRNA from 1 species